rnacentral:snoRNA from 14 species
GAGAUCGUACUUCUAGGGAUCAGUCCUAUAGUACGUAUCACCAGGACGUCAAACAAACUAGACCCUGGCUAACCCACCGCGAUGAUGAUCAGUGCGGCCUAGUCCUGAGCGUGAAGCAGGUGUGUGGCUGUCCGUCUAGCUGACUCCCUAUGGAGUUUGUCCGUGCGGACUUGGCCGCCUCCUUGU